rnacentral:rRNA from 1 species
GAUGAACGCUAGCUACAGGCUUAACACAUGCAAGUCGAGGGGAAACGAUAGAGAAAGCUUGCUUUUUCUAGGCGUCGACCGGCGCACGGGUGAGUAACGCGUAUCCAACCUGCCCAUCACUUGGGGAUAACCUUGCGAAAGUAAGACUAAUACCCAAUGACGUCUCUAGAAGACAUCUGAAAGAGAUUAAAGAUUUAUCGGUGAUGGAUGGGGAUGCGUCUGAUUAGCUUGUUGGCGGGGUAACGGCCCACCAAGGCGACGAUCAGUAGGGGUUCUGAGAGGAAGGUCCCCCAAAUCGGAACUGAGACACGGUCCAAACUCCUACGGGAGGCAGCAGUGAGGAAUAUGGGUCAAUGGACGAGAGUCUGAACCAGCCAAGUAGCGUGCAGGAUGACGGCCCUAUGGGUUGUAAACUGCUUUUAUAAGGGAAUAAAGUGAGUCUCGUGAGACUUUUUGCAUGUACCUUAUGAAUAAGGACCGGCUAAUUCCGUGCCAGCCGCCGCCGUAA